GUACCUGCACAGGAGAAACACCACGGAUCACAGCGCGAUCUGAAUGGCAAGAGCCUUGCCCUCACCCCACACCUUCCCAGCCUGCUUCCCCUGGGACACAGCCGUUGCUCACUUCCUAUCUGGUCCCCAGAGGCCUCAGCCUGCAUCCUCACCCAGACAGAGCAGUUCUCAAGGAUCCUCCCCGUGCCCAGAAGUCUCCCUAGCCUGAGUGGGAGACCUCUCCCAGGAUGACGAGACACUGACUCCUAGCCACUUGCAGGGUUGACCCUCAGCAGAGACGGCUGUGUCCCCUUCCCUCCAGUGCCCCGCGGUCUCAACCCAGUUAACCGGAAUCUAGACGCCACGAGCUCUUGGCUACAGCACCCUUAACCCGUAUCCGUGGCAAGGCGUCUGGCCAGGCGCCCACCCUCUGCCCCUGGCCCUCCCGGCAGCCCUCGGCAUGUACCUUUGUUGCAGAGCUCACAGACAUGGAAAUAGGAGUGACAUGAUGAAACCUUGAAGAAGGGAUGAGAAAAUGGAGCAAAAAGGCAAAAAGAAGAGAGAGAAAAAGGGGGUCUGAGAGACUGACUCAGACAGCUACCAUGAGGAUCAAAAUCAUGAAAACCAGGACAGAAGGAGGGGGGCUUCCUACCUCACAUUUGAAGGGCCGUUCUGUUGAGUGCACUUGUCUGACGUGACUGUUGAGGUGAUCCGGCCUGGGGACACGUUGGGGUUGGGGUUAGGGCGGAGGUGGUGCGCCCCAAAUCCACCAAACUGCACCACAGGCCUUUCCGAGGAUCCCUGCGCCUCCUCCCGGAGCCCAGGCCGUCACAGCGCCACUUCAGCAGGAAAUCCCUCCCCUGGAGCCCAGCAGCCGCUGCCGCCGCCUCCUCCCACGCGAAGCUUCCGUCAACCCCAAGGCCCACCUCCUCGACAAAGGACCACCCCUUGCUCCCUGGUAACCGGGAGAGGCUUCCUCCCUCCGCCCUGGGAGUGGCUCCCCUUCCCCAGCCUCAGCAGCCGCCUCCCUCCCCGCCAGCCACGGCCAGGCCACCUCCGUCGCGUCCCUCCCUCCCCACGGCCUAGCGGGCGGCCGAGGCCCCGUGCACACCGGGAGAAGCUCUUGCCACAGUGGGAGCAGUUGUAGGGCUUGUGCACAGCGCCGUCAUGUGAGCGCACGUGGUAGCUCAUGCGGUCCUUGCGCUUGAAGCGCUGCUGGCACACCGGGCACUGGUAGGGCUUCUCGUCCGAGUGCGACAGCUUGUGUCGGUUCAGGUGGUAGACGUCGCGAAAGGCCUUGCCA